rnacentral:lncRNA from 1 species
AAAGAGAGAUCUGAAAAAUUUGAGAGAGAAUCGGCAGGAGAGAAGGGAGAAAGAAGAAGAAGAGAAAAGAGGGGGAAAUAAGGGAAAAAGGAAAGGAGUUGAAGAGAAUAAGUUUAAAGGUAAGAUUUAGGUUGUUAAAUGUAUAAAUGUAUGUUAAUUGAGCUUAAUUUCAGUUUUGAUGAAUGUUAGGGUUUUGAAAAUUUGUGUUUUGGGUUUAAUUGAUGAAUUAAAUUGAAUGUUAUAAGGUUGAUUGUUAUGGGUAAUUGAUUAAUGAGUUGAUUAUGGAAGAUUGUGAUGAUUUUGAGUUAUGAAUUGUGUAAAUGGUGAAUGUUGAGUUAUAAAUUUGGCAAGAACAAUAGGUAAUCUGUUAAAAUUCUGGAUUGGAGGUUGAAGAUGACGAAAAUUCAAUUUGGUCCCUCAAUUUUGGAAAAUUACAGUUUAGUCCCCGAACUUUGGAAAAUUUGCAGAUUGGUCCCUGGGGCAUAUUCCGAGAUUCUGAACAGAAUAACAUAUGAAUUAUGGACAGAAUUACUGUAUAGAUAAGAGAAUUUAACACUUUCAAUUUAGUCCUCCAAUUUGACAAAAUUACAAUUUGACCCUAAAAAUUUGGUAAAAUUCCAGAAUGGUCCUUGGAGUAUAAUGAGAUGAUCUGGACAGAAAUGAGGACUAAUUAUGGUCAGAAUUUCAGUAUAUUCAUGGAUUUAUGAUAAAUUUCAGUUUGGUCCUUCAAUUAGACAAAAAUUGCAAUUUGACCCUUAAAAAUAGGAUAAAUUACAGAUUAGUCCCUAGCUGUAAUACUAGCUUUUGCAGAUUGGUUUGAUGAAUAAUUAAGGGUUAUUUAGUGAACUAUUUCCAAUUUUAUUAGUUGUUUUAUUAUGGAUUAGAUUUCGGGAAAACCGUUAAAUUUUGGGUUUUUGAGAAAAUUGAUUAGUGAGUUCAAAAACAUAUAUGAUUACGGAAUACACCCUUAGUUAAGUGUAUUAAAUAAGUUAAAUGUUCUUUUGAGUCGUUCUUGAAUAUGUCUCCUUUGUAUUCAGAUAAUCCUGAUAUUCUACCGAUAGGACGUCAGUAGGAUUUUCUUCGGUGUCUGCUUUUGGCUUCUGUUUGCUUUUGAGUCAGGUGAGUGGAUAAUUUUCCAUAUGCAUGAGAAAUAGUAUAAAUAUUUGAUUUGUUAAUAUGAAUUGAAUCAUGCUUCUUGAUAAUAUAUAUGUUGAUUAUUAUCCUUGUUUUGAUAAAGCAUGAUCAAUUGUUGAAUCCGAAUUCUUGAUAUGAACCAGUAUAUAUUUUGAAUUGAAUUCUGAAUUGAUAGCUCCUCAUUUGAUUGAUGUCAUGAGUUGAGCCUUGAGAUAUGAAUAUGUCUGUUUGCUUAUGAUUAUGAUUAUGAACCUAUGGUAUGUUAGUCAGAAUACCCAUGCUAACAGGGUAGUGUUAGUCUUUGUGCACAUCGUAUCCGAACCCUAGUUGGUCGGGGGAGUCACCAACCUGUGUGGACUGAUCAUCCCACAGUACGGAGCCUCAUGCUCAUUGCAUUUUGAUUUUCUGACGAGCUUUACCAUAUGAUAUUCUUGUUAUGGCCUAUUUGAGAAACCUUUCUAUACGAACCUAGAGCCAUACUUGUAUAUAUAUUUCUCAUUGCUGUAUUACCUCGUGUGUGUAUAUUGAACGUUAUCUACUCACUGAGUUGUUGAACUCACCCUCUCAUUAUUUAUCCUUUUCAGGCUUAUAGCUUGAUAGCAGGUCACUUUUGUUGGACUUUCCGAACCUGCUCUUUUGGUUGUAAUUUGUACCUUUUCCUUUAUGUCUAGUUAGUGCUCCAAAACUCUGAAUUUAUAUUAGCUCUUGUAUUAAGACAACUAAAUUAUAUUAUGAAGUUGAUUUUGUUGUUAAUGCUGCGUUGAACUCUGAUUGAGUUAGGAUAAGUUUGUGUGUAAGUUUGGGUUCGCAUAGGUAUGGAACCUUGGAGGGGAACCUUGCCUAUGUGCCGGUCAUGGAUCCGGGAUUCGGGUCGUGACACUCCUAUUGAGCAAUUAUCAGUACACCACCGGUCCGCGCAUGGGGAGCCGGAAUCCCCAACAAGAAAUUCUCAUUGUUCAUGUUAAAGACCUCGAAAUUCCAAAAUUAUAGCUAUCUAAAUGCUGAUCCCUUACACUCUUCGAAAUUGACCUUCAUCUUUUGGAUUUUAUGAGUUGGUAAACCUGCUAUUAAUCAGCGGACCGUGAGAAACCAAAAAUCAGAACAUAUUUUCAGACUGGUUUUAUUAAGUACAUACAAUUUAGUUUACAUGACUCAGGUUUAUGGAGUAUCUAGAUGAAGCUUAGACCACCCCUCCAUUGAUGCUUUGUGGACCUGAACUGUGAUGUUUUGAAUUAAAAGAGAUAGGAAAAGGCAACAAAGCUCUUGGAGGCUUAAAGAGUGGGUAUAAGUAAAUGAGGGGUAGUGUGGUAAUUAAAUAAACAUAAUAAGUAUAAAUAGAAAAAAAAAGAGAGAGAUCUGAAAUCAAGAGUGAUGAUGGGAUAAGAGAAGAAAAGGGGAAGAAGAAGAAGAUAAAAGAGGUAAAGAUAAGGGAAAUAGAAGAUAAUUGAAGAAAAUAAGUUUAAAGAUAAGAUUUAGGUUGUUAAAUGUAUAAAUGUGUGUUCUUUGAGUUUUAAAUUUCUGUUUUGAUAAAUGUUAGGGUUUUGAAGAUUGUGUUUUGGGUUGAUUGAUGAAUUAAUUUGAAUGUUAUGGGUUGAUUGUUGUGGGUAAUGAGUUGUUUAGUUGAUUUUGAAAGAUUUUAGGUAAAGAUGAUGAUUUUGAGUUAUGAUUUGUGUAAAUGGUGAAUUUUGAGUUAGAAAUCUUGAGAUAACAGUAGGUUUUCUGUGGAAAUUCUGGGUUUGAGGUUGAAGAUGACAAAAUUUCAGUUUGGACCCUCAAUUUAUAAAACUUACAGUUUAGUCCCUAAACUUUGAAAAAAUUACAAAUUUACCCUAAAAUUUUGGAAAAAAAUCCAGAAUGGUCCCUGGAGCAUAAUUAGAGAUUCUGGACAAAAAUGAGGAUGAAUUAUGGAUAUAAUUCCACUAUAGUCAUGAAUUUAUGAUAUUUUUAGGUUGGUCCUCCAAUUUGACAAAGUUACAAUUUAACCCUUAAAAAUAUGAUAAAUUCCAGAUUGGUCUCUAUCUGUAAUAUUAGCUUUUGCAAAUUGGUUUGAUGAAUAAAUGAGGGUUAUUUAAUGAAUUAUUAUCAAGUCUUAUUAUUUGUUUUAUUAUGAAUUAGAUUUCGAGAAAACCGUUUAAUUUUGGGUUUUUGGGAAAAUAACUAGUUUAGUAUAAAAACAUAUAGGGUUGUGAAAUAUACCCUUAGUUAGGUAUAUUAAAUAGGUUAUAUGUUCUUUCAAGUCGUUCUUGAAUAUGUCUCAUUUGUAUUCAGAUAAUCCUGAUAUUCUACCGGCGGGAUGUUAGUAGGAUUUCCUUCGGUAUCUGCUUUUGAGUGUUGUUUCCUUUCGAAUCAGGUGAGUGGAUAAUUUUUCAUAUGUAUAAGAAAUAUUAUAAAUAUUUGAGUUGUUAAUAUGAAUUGGAUCAUGCUUCUUGAUAAUAUAUAUAUAUAUAUAUAUAUAUAUAUAUAUAUAUAUAUAUGUUGAUUAUUAUCCUUGUUACGAUAAAACAUGAUCAAUUGUUGAAUCUGAAUUCUUGAUAUGAACCAAUAUAUAUUUUGAAUUGACUUUUGAAUUGAUAACUCCUCAUUUGAUUGAUGUCAUGAGUUAAGUUUUAAGAUAUGAAUAUGUUUGUUUGAUUAUGAUUAUAAAUCUAUGGUAUGCUAGUUAGAAUACUCAUGCUAACAAGGUAGUGUUAGUUUUUGUGCACAUCAUAUCUGAACUCUAGUUGGUCGGGGGAGUCACCAACCUGUGUGAACUGAUCAUCGCACAGUAUGGAGCCUCAUGCUCGGGGGAGUCACCAACCUGUGUGAACUGAUCAUCGCACAGUAUGGAGCCUCAUGCUCAUUGCAUUUUGAUUUUCUGAUGAGCUUUACCUUAUGAUAUUUUUGUUAUGGCCUAUUUGAGAAACCUUCUUAUAAGAACAUAAAGUUAUAUAUAUAUCAUUGUUGUAUUACCUCGUGUGUGUGUAUUGAGCGUUAUAGUACACUGAAUUGUUGAACUCACUCCCUCAUUAUUUAUCUUUUCAGGCUUAUAGCUUGUUAGCGGGUUAUUUUAUUGGACCUUCAGAACCUGCUCUUUUGUUUAAAUUAGUAUUUUCCUUUUAUGUCUAGUUAGUGCUCCAUAACUAUGAAAUUGUAUUAACUUUUGUAUUAAGACAAUUAAAUUAUAUUAUAAAGUUAAUUUUGUUAUUAAUGCUGCGUUGAACUCUGAUUGAGUUAGGAGAAAUUUGUAUGUAAGUUUGGGUUCGCAUAGGUAUGGAACUUUGGAGGAGAACCUUGUCUAUGUGCCGGUUAUUGAUCCGGGAAUUAGGUCGUGACAUGAACUAUAUAUUUCUAGUGAGUUUUGAGAUUUUUGGCUUUGUUGGAUUGUUUUUACAACUUUAAAAUAAACAUUUUUUGAGCAAGUUUCGUGCUGUGAAAAUAAUCAAGAGUACCAGUAAUGAAAGGAAGAACUUCUGGAAACGUAUGACAGAAAAUAGGACAAAAUUGGUAGGAUGCACUGAUUGAGAUUCAGAAGCAAUACCUAGCUUUAGCUUCUGCAAAUCCUGUGAACUGUGAAGCAUACUACCAGAAUGGUUUGCUUUCUCGUACAAAAGAAAACCAUCCUAUUCAAAGAAAACCUUUGUCUAACCCAACGGGGAUAGUUAGGAGAAUGACUUGGGACCUAAGUGGGAUUUGGUUUGUGGUUAGACCAGUUACGAUGUUGCCCAUCAAAACCAUCAAUUUCCUCACAAAUUGAAUUAGAUAGAAGAACAUAUUCAAAUCAGUAAAAGAAUUAGAUUGAAUUAGAUCCUAUUCAAAGAAAACAUCUGAGAAUGUUGGUGAAGUCUUGCCUUCAAUACAAGAUAGUGAAACAGUAAAAGAAAUGAAUGUAGUAUAAGACAUGAAGACAUUCUUAUAAAUAUAAAAAUCAGUUCUUGUUAAGAAAAUAAUUACUGACAUUUCAUGCAUGCAUACAGAAAGCAAUGAUCAAUCAACUAACUUAAACAUUAUACACGCUGUCCUACUAUCCAAGUAGAUGAGAGGAAACGUAAGAGAGACUUGUAAUUAGAAGCAAACUACAGCUUCAAGAUGUAGAAUGUCUACGCAAAAACUAAUCUAUCUUGCCUCUACCAGUGAAAUCGAGCAUUGGUUUGUUGAAUAUCGUUUGCUGUGGCUUGGUAGAUUACUCGCUUCAAUAACGUCCCUUGCAGUAAAAUAACCCGGCUGUUUAGGCUGAGGCAAUUUAUCUUCAUUACCUAGCAUCAAAACCACAUACGAAAUGCUUGGCCUAUCUUCAGGACUUUCUUGCACGCAUAACAGCCCCAAUUGAAUCACACGUAGCACUUCAGAUAAAUUGCAUGUUUCAAUCGUCGAUUCCGCAAUCAGUUCCGAUGGCCUGCCUUCAUUAAACAGUGUCCAAGCCUGUUAAGAUAAAUCAUGUUACUAAAAUGAGAUCUCAUACCCAGAACUAAAAAAAAACCUUAAGUUUUUUUUAUGGCAGUACUUACAUGUCCAAGUAGGUUGAGUUGGUGAUCUGAAUGAUAGAAUCCUCUGUUCCUGUUGCCACUUACUGUCUCUAACACCAAUACACCAAAGCUGAAGACAUCUGAUUUUAAUGAGUAGAGUCCAUGGAAUGCAUACUCUGGAGAUAUGUAGCCACUGGAAAUAUUCAAAGAAUGUUAGAUGGCAUCUGUCAGAAUUGGAAGUAAACUAUGUAUGCUGGAAACACUUACUAUGUCCCCACCACUUUCCUUGUUUUGGAUUCAGUUUCAUUUCCUUCAACACCUCUCGCCAUCCCGAAGUCUGAAAUUUUUGGGUGCAUGUUGUAAUCUAAUAAAAUAUUGCUGGCUUUUAGAUCUCUGUGAAUUACUCUUAGUCUUGAAUCUUGGUGAAGAUAAAGUAGUCCACGAGCAAUCCCAUUGAUAAUAUUGUAACGCUUAGGCCAAUCUAAUAGCACGCUCCGUGUGUCAUCUAUCUCAAUUACAUAUUUUUCACACGUCAAUCCAUGUCCUUAUCAGAUUCUUAAAUGCAUGUCAAAGAACCACUUGGAUCCUACUUAAAUUAUCAUUACAAUGAUGAAAAUAUUAAUGAAGUAUAAAUGAUCAAGUAAAUCGGUAUAGGUUAGAGAUCCAAACCAAAAAUAAAGAAGUCCAAGCUUUUGUUAGGCAAGAACUCGUAAAUCAACAUCUUUUCCUCUCCUUCAAUGCAGCAUCCUAGAAGCUUCACUAGAUUCCGGUGCUGAAGGUUCACUAUAUGCCUGACUUCAUUUUUGAACUCAUCGAGGCCUUGUCUCGAACUCUUAGAGAGCCUCUUCACAGCUAUUUCAAGUCCAUCUUUCAGUGUCCCCUGAUUAUCAUAAGCAACUAAAUAAUAUUUAGUCCUUUGAGAUUGAGUUGAGAAUCAUAAUAUGAUGUCGCGUAGAACUUGCAUGGAAAGUAAUAGUUUAAUACCUUAUAAACAUGUCCGACUCCUCCUCCUCCCAGCAUAUUGUUAAGAGAAAAGUUAUUUGUUGCAGAAGCCAAGGUAUCUAUUGUAAACAACAAUACUUCCAGAUCUUUGUUCUUGUGCUUGUUAUUUGAACUUAUUCCCGAAACACCAGUCAUUUUUCCUGCCAGAAGAGAAGAAAGAAUGGAUCUCUAUUCUCUGCUAAAUACAGAUCUCUUAAGAAAAUCAAGUACAGUGAUCUCUUUAACAAUUUUCGGUCGUAGAUUGGAUUACUAAAACUCAACUUUGAAAACAAACUAAACUGCCUAUAUCAAUAGAAUAUGGAAACAGAGGGGAAGGGGCAUAGAAGAGGUUAGAAUUUCAUGGUGUGAGUGUAACAUACUGUUUUUCAUCUGAUGCCUUUUCCAAACAUAAAAGACCAGGGCCAGGCCAAGGAACAGAAUUCCUGUAGACAACACGACGCGUAGUAUGAUCCUUUUCUUCUCUUUGGCUUUCGUUUCAAUCUUUACACCAUAACCGUUAUCUGCACAUCAAGGAGUAAAAAAACUAAAGUUAAAAGAUAAUAACAGGUAAUGCCACUAUGCUAUGUAUUUGUUUUGUUAGUUAAUAUGGCUUGAGAAUUUUCAUUAGCUAUCUGGAUCCUUUCAUCACAGUUCAUAUGAUAACUUCAUACCUAGUUCUGAAGCAGCCAUCCUUAUAUAAAUGUCUGGUUCAUUUUCAACAAGUAUUCUAACAUCAAGCAGAUCAUUGAACCAGAGCAAGCAUCCAUUUCCUCCAUCCCUGAUAUCUAAAUUUGAAUAAGCUGUACAACUGCAGUUAUUCAAGCACGUGUUCUUGCACUCUUCAAGAUUCAUGCUCCUGUUAAACCAUGAUGUUUUUGUCUGAGGCAACUUCACAGCCGAGACCUUUUGAAACCCGUCUCCAGAGCAAUUUAGUGGAGUCCUUCUAACACAACCACUUGACCAGUCCAUCAACUCCCAUUCGCUUUGAACUUUUGGUACAAAUCCAUUCAAGCAACCACACAUUGGAGAGCUGUUGAUACUACAGAUACCAUUUGCACCACACAGUGCAAAACGUUCACAAUUAUCGGUAUCUAAGGUGAGAUAAAGCAGCCAACUUUGUGUUUGUUCAAUCCACGUGAAGCGCAGGACAUCACCACCCUGAGUUACCAUGACCCUCCACGGCAUUGACUCACUGAGAACAUGAUAUCUGUAAAAUAUCUCCUCCUCAUUAAAAACAAAUUCAAUUGAGUAUUUGGGAUUUGGGAUUUGGUUUUGAUUGAGGCAUGCCACUGAACCUCAGACCAUUCCACGGUCCAGACCGGUGCUUAACAAUUGAAUUCUCCACCACAAUUAUCUCAGGAUAUCCAUAAGGAACAAGAAUUACUGAAACAUUACCUCUUGAAGGAUCAUCCGGUGACUUCCAGGAUGUAAUGUAAGAGUCCAUCCCUGUUAUUCUAUUCCGUCCUAGCUUCAUUUCAGGCAAUAAUGUAUCAGCUGGAUGUUCAAAACUCUGCCACAAGGAGCUUUCCAGGUUAUCAUCACCCUCCUCCUUCACAACAAGGUUUCCUGAAUCCAAAAGUUGAGCGGCUGGAUUAGUCGCAGGUCGCGAUGAGUCGGAAGACCAAACUAUGCUCCCGUUCCGAUUUGAAAGGACGAGAAUUCCUUGGUUGGUAAGCCUUAAAACACCUGAUGAAUCAUUAAGUGGGGUUUCUCUGUUGGCAACCCAAACUACAGUCAUCACAGAUAUUUUAGCAUACCAUACCCCCAAGUAUCGGUUUGCAGAAUUCCCCGGGCUAAAAAAUCCCAACUCAUAGGCUCCAUUAGCUGAAAGAAUAGUAUCACCAUCUCUAAUGGAUUGAGUUGUGUUUAUGGUGUCAAUUGCAGUGGAUGUAUCAAUAAUCAACAAUAAAAAGAGAAAUAUGGGAGCUAUGCGAUCCAUUGUUGUUCUCAUGAUUUCUUUGCAGCUCACAUCUUUUAUUUCAAAGACAGACUUAGAUGUAGAAAUACUCCAUGUAAAAAAAAAAUUGCAAUCAUAUUAAUUAGUUCCAUCUAGAGGUGAAUUAGUGAUUUGACAGGCAGUGUUGUUAAGUUUUAUUUCUAAAUGACAACGCAAUUUCUAUAUUUAUUUUCAAAAAUUGACAUGCAGUGUUGUUAAGCUUAGUAAAGCUGAAUUAGUGAUUUGCAUGGUCCGUUGGACUUGGACGAGUAGACUUGUACUCCCCUUCAUCUAAAAUUCUUUCAUUAUCCAGCAAACCUUGUAUACCAUUACUAUUACGAUAUAUUUCUGUUGGUGUUUAUUAAUAAGUAUAGCAAAAGAUUAUUUUGUUUACUAAUAGAUACAGCAAGAGUUUAUUGAUAGAUCUGUUGAUAUUUUUAUUCGUAUUUAUUAAUUUUGUGACUUGACAUUCAAUAAUAGCCAUACAAAUUUAAGAAGCUAAUUGGUUGUUUGACUUCAAAUGCAAUUAAUUAGCCAGCAUUUGCUUUUGUUUUUUUUUUUUUUUCUUUUUUUUUUUAAUUUUACCCUUUAAAAUUAGAUUUGUUUUUUUUUACAUUCAAUAAUAGUCACAAGGCUACUUCGUUUGAGAUGUUUUUAUGAUUUCAGCCAUGAAGAAUAGAUAUUUUAAAUUCUCUCAUACUUAUUGUAUUGAAUAUUUAUCAAAAGUAUCUAAGGGGCAGAAUUAUAAAAUUUAGAGGAGGCCAGAAUUGGACACCCAUCUUAGUGUAAGAGUGUAUUAAUUGGACACCCAUCUUCAAAUGAUUUUAUUUCUAUAAAGAUAAACCUGAACAAGACAAGUUCAUCAACCCUUAAGAACAAGUAUAGAAUAUACAAUGCAUCCUAGGGAUGGUUAUAUAGCAUAACAACAUAAUGUGUAAAAUCUAAUCUUCCCCAUCAUGUUCCAUGAGUGUACAUUAACCUACUACCAUAGCUUAGAACAUGGUUACAUUAUAAACUUUUUUUAGUUUGUGUGCCAAGCUUAUUGUCUGUUUUAACCUAAGCAUAUCUACUAAAAUGAGCUAAACCAAGCUCUUCGUUCUCGCCCAACGAGUGAAUGAAAGUAUCAAAGCUUAUUUAAAAAUAUUUAAUGAAUAAGUGUUUAAUGUGGAAGGUUUACUAGAACCUAUUAUUAUUGCGACCUUAAUUAGUGGGGUACACAACUAAUUUUCAUGGAAACUGUUUGUAAUGUUUUGUAUUAAAAGAUAGGAAAUGGCAACAAGGCCCUUGAAUGCUUAGAUGUAGGAAUAAAUUAAAUGAGGGGUAGUGUGGUAAUUGAACAAUAGUUGAUAUAUAUAAAUAGAGAGAAGGAAAAAAAAAAAAAAAACAAAAGAGAGAUCUGAAUUUUGAGAGAGAACCGGCAGGAGAGAAAGGGAGAAAGAAGAAGAAGAAGAGAAAAGAGGGAAAUUAGAAAGGAAAUAGAAAGGAGUUGGAGAAAAUAAGUAAAAAGGUAAGAUUAUGUAUAAAUAUAUGUUAAUUAAGCUUUAAUUUCGAUUUUGAUAAAUGUUAGGGUUAUGAAAUUUGUGUUUUGGGUUUGAUUGAUGAUUUAAUUUGAAUAUUAUAGAGUUAAUUGUUGUGGGUAUUUGAUUAUUUGGAUGAUUUUGAGAGAUUGAAUUGAAAGAUGAUGAUUUUGAGUUAUGAUUUUGUUUGAAUGGUGAAUGUUGAGUUAGAAAUUUGGCAAGAACAGUAGGUUUCUGUUAAAAAUUCUGGGUUGGAGGUUGAAGAUGACGAAAAUUCAAUUUGGUCCCUCAAUUUUGGAAAAUUACAGUUUAGUCCCCAAACUUUGGAAAAUUUGCAGAUUGGUCCCUGGAGCAUAUUCCGAGAUUCUGAACAGAAUAACAUAUGAAUUAUGGACAGAAUUACUGUAUAGAUAAGAGAAUUUAACACUUUCAAUUUAGUCCUCCAAUUUGACAAAAAUUACAAUUUGACCCUAAAAAUUUGGUAAAAUUCCAGAAUGGUCCUUGGAGUAUAAUGAGAUGAUCUAGACAGAAAUGAGGACUAAUUAUGGUCAGAAUUUCAGUAUAUUCAUGGAUUUAUGAUAAAUUUCAGUUUGGUCCUCCAAUUAGACAAAAAUUACAAUUUGGCCCUAAAAAUAUGAUAAAUUACAGAUUAGUCCCUAGCUGUAAUAUUAUCCUUUUCAGAUUGGUUUGAUGAAUAAUUGAGGGUUAUUUAGUGAAUUAUUAUCAAGUUUUAUUAUUUGCUUUAUUAUGGAUUAGAUUUCGGGAAAACCGUUAAAUUUUGGGUUUUAGGAAAAAUAACUAGUUAGUUCAAAAACAUAUAGGGUUAUGGAAUGCACCCUUAGAUAAGUGUAUUAAAUGGGUUAUAUAUUCCUUUGAGUUAUUCUUGAAUAUGCCUUCUUUGUAUUCAGAUAAUCCUGAUAUUCUACCGGCGGGACGUCAGUAGGAUUUUCUUCAGUAUUUGCUUUUGACUUCUGUUUGCUUUCGAGUCAGGUGAGUGGAUAAUUUUCCAUAUGCAUGAGAAAUAGUAUAAAUAUUUGAUUUGUUAUUAUGAAUUGAAUCAUGCUUCUUGAUAAUAUAUAUGUUGAUUAUUAUCCUUGUUAUGAUAAAGCAUGAUCAAUUGUUGAAUCUGAAUUCUUGAUAUGAACCAGUAUAUAUUUUGAAUUGAAUUCUGAAUUGAUAGCUCCUCAUUUGAUUGAUGUCAUGAGUUGAGCCUUGAGAUAUGAAUAUGUCUGUUUGAAUAUGAUUAUGAACCUAUGGUAUGUCAGUCAGAAUACCCAUGCUAACAGGGUAGUGUUAGUCUUUGUGCACAUCGUAUCUGAACCCUAGUUGGUCGGGGGAGUCACCAACCUGUGUGGACUGAUCAUCCCACAGUACGGAGCCUCAUGCUCAUUGCAUUUUGAUUUUCUGACUAGUUUUACCAUAUGAUAUUCUUGUUAUGGCCUAUUUGAAAAACCUUUCCAUAAGAACCUAAAGCCAUACUUGUAUAUAUAUUUCUCAUUGCUGUAUUACCUCGUGUGUGUAUAUUGAACGCUAUCUAGUCACUGAGUUGUUGAACUCACCAUCUCAUUAUUUAUCCUUUUCAGGCUUAUAGCUUGAUAGCAGGUCAUUUUGUUGGACCUUCAGAACCUGCUUUUUGGUUGUAAUUUGUACCUUCCUUUUAUGUCAAGUUAGUGCUCCAAAACUAUGAAUUAUAUUAACUCUUGUAUUAAGACAAUUCAAUUAUAUUAUGAAGUUGAUUUUGUUGUUAAUGCUGCGUUGAACUCUGAUUGAGUUAGGAUAAGUUUGUGUGUAAGUUUGGGUUCGCAUAGGUAUGGAACCUUGGAGGGGAACCUUGCC